AGUCCCAAACAAAUACACUAGGGCUAAGCCCUUUUUGGUCGUUUCCAGUCGUUUUGGUCUUAGUUGACUAAGCUUUCUUUAGUCGUUUGGCGUUUUUUAUGCUGAAUGACUUAUUUCCAAGAAACUUAUGAGCACAUCUCUGGUUAACACAAGAUUUAAAGAGGUGCUUUUCUGUGAUUCUUUGUUAAGAAACUCAGUUUUACAGAUCUGUCAAUUAAAUCAACUUAUGGAUCAGUCGCCAAAAUCAAGUGUUGGUCGACUAAGAAUGCUCUAUUUCCUCCUGUUUGAGUAACAGUAAGCAUCUGUUUUAGGAAAUGACAGAUUUUUUUUAAAGAUGAAACUAUAUAUCUGUGGUCUUUCUAAAGAUUUAUGUGCUUGGGGCGAAGACCCACGGACGAGAAGUCAGAAAGUACUGAGAAAUGGACAAACACAUUGUUGGUUUUGGUGUUUUCAAGAGAUUUGUAGACCAUAAGAAACAUAUCAAAUAACUCCAGCCUUAUUCUUUAAUCAGAAAAAAAACAAGGAAUGAAUGGACCACUAAACUUCUGGGGAAAAAAAGCUGCAGAGCAUCUGGACCGAAAUCCAUCCAAAGUAUUAACAUUCACGCCUGCAGAUGUCCUAUCACUGAGUAUUCCAAACUGUCAACUACCAAAAUCAGCAUCAAUUUCUUACUCCGAUUCUUGUUUGCUCACAUUUUAACUGGAUAUUUCUUGAUCAAAGUUAUAAUUUUGUAGCCUGACCAAAAAAAAAAAAUCUCAACACACAGUUCAACUUGUUGGAUGACAGUGGAUGACUCCCUCUUCGGCAACAACAAGUAAAUUGAACCUUGUGUCCCGAUUUCUUCUGUGAAGUUGCCAUUUUCAAGGGCAAGAAUAAACCUUGAAGCUCGAUAAUUUAGGUCGUUUUAAGCCUGCAGUUCUUUCACGGCUGCUUUGUGUUAAACACUGAGACUAUUUGAGAGGUUUUGUUAAAUAGAAAAAAAAUGGUUUUGUAGAGAAAAGUUUCAGUAUUGGUACUGAAACUCAGUUUUCACAUCGACACUGGUGAGUUAUGUUAGUAGAACGCUUUUUACAGUCAAAGUUGACUUAUUUUCCACCCAAACCGAUAUUAAAAAUACCCCAAAAACUGGUAUUUGUUUUUCUCUGGUCAUUCCCUUUAUUACUUCCUGCCAUGUAGUCUGGACGUUGGACACACUCCCUGCCAGUCUCACUCCACAACACACACACACACACACACUGAGAGCAAGAUUCCUCCCACUGUGGCCUUUAAUCCUGGUCCAGACUGUAAGCAUGGUUGUGAUAAAGACACUCACAACGGCUUUAAAGAAACGCUCUGAUGUAAACUUUGAUGAACGUAACAGGAGGGAGAGGUGAGAGGAAUCAACACAGUGGGCCAACUGGAGAUACAUCAGAGCAGAAGAUACUUUCAACAGUCUCAUAUAGAAAGAAAACGACAUAGAUCAUCACCAGAGAAGCUCGUAAACUAACCGUCUGUCUUUCCUUAGCCAGUUCUCAGUGCUCGCUGCUCGGACUGAAUGAAAGUUCCCUGAACGCACCGCGAGUUGUGUGCACCGCUGACCUGAAACCACCAGCCGUGGAUAAUUGCAGUGCAUUUUCAGUCAAACAAACUGUUCCUGGUACAGCUGGUGACAUCACUCUCUACCAGAUGGCAGAUGUGGAGAUUAUAAAUCACAGGGAGGCAAAACGAUGGGAGACGAGACCGAAAGUUAAGCUACAGGGCAGGUUAUAAAAAGAAAAAACUAAUGGAUAGAUGGGAUGCCGAUCGAAAAGCGGUUAAAUAAAGUUGCUGAUAAAUAGAAAGGGGACAGUACAGAGCAUGACGGAGGGUUUCACCAACUUUGAACUUUUCAUUCGAAUGUGGGAAAAGAUGAAAUAUUCAAAACUUUAAAGUUGUUGACCUUUGAGAAAAUUAACUAAAUCCAAACUUAAUUUUUUUAGUAAGUGAUAGCCCUAACCUGGAUUAGUGUCAACUCUGCUACACAUUUGAGCUACACAGAGCAAAGAGAUGCUGAAUGGAAUGAAUGAAAAUCCAAUGGAGGUUUAUGCGUUUUCGUCUUUUAAAGGGAUAGUUUGGGUGUUUUUGAAGUGGGGUUGUAUGAGGUACUUAUCCAUAUACUGUAAUACACUGACUAUGGAU